rnacentral:rRNA from 1 species
GACGAACGCUGGCGGCGUGCCUAAUACAUGCAAGUAGCACGCAGUUGCGAACGGGUGAGUAACGCGUAGGUAACUGCCUCAUAGCGGGGGAUAACUAUUGGAAACGAUAGACAAUACCGCACAUUGUGAGAUGGACCUGAGUUGUAUUAGCUAGUUGGUGAGGUGAAGGCUCACCAAGGCGACGAUACAUAGCCGCCCUGAGAGGGGGGGCGGGCAAAUGGGGAAUGAGUCAAGGCACAGACUGCUACGGGAGGAAGCAGUGGGGAAGCUGCGGAAAUGGAAGGAAGGCUGACCGAGCAACGCCGCGUGAGUUAAGAAGGGUUUCGGAUCGUAAAGCUCUGUUGUUAGAGAAGCGGUAACUAACCAGAAAGGGACGGCUAACUCCGUGCCAGCAGCCGCGGUAAUUC